rnacentral:lncRNA from 1 species
CUGAGAGCUGACCUGCCAGUGACGCUGGGCCUCCUUAUUCAGGCUGAACACUGACGCCUGUCUCCGCCCACUUCUUCCUGUGUGGUCUCUCCGCCCUUUCUCUCCUUUCCUCCAGUGGAAUCUUAAUCUGGUCAGAAGCCCCAGUACACAUCUGCAUGUUCCAGUCACAAGUCCUUCCGGUUCUUCCAGGUGAUCUGCCACCACAGCAAGGCCACUGACAGACGAGCAGUGUGGUUCCAUGCCCGGGAGCUGAACUCCAGCUGCCGAAGCUGAGCACGCCAAACCCCAACCACAGGCCAUGAGCGCUGGCUCAAGAUGCUCUUUUAAUCGCACAGUGGAGUUCUCUGAGGGCUGCGUGACAGGUGACACCGCAGUAGGGUGCAUCUCCUAAGAGCCCUCCCCAGUAAACCGUCUGCAGUCCUUUUCGUCUCAGUGUCUGUUUCCAGCAAACUCGAUCUAAAACAGCUGAUUUCAAAAUACAAGUGUUCCUGAUUGGUAGCAGUCUUCCCCAUGGUGACCCAGGAACCCAGGCUCCUUUUAUCUAGUGGACUACCUUCCCGGAUUUCCACGUCCUCUGCAUGCAGGAGAAGGACGGGGGAAAGAACAAGUAGAGCAG